GGGUGAGAGAGACCCAGGCCGCAGGGAGUAAGGCUGUGGCUAAGCUGGGGGCGGAGGGGCUGCAGGCAUCUGCUAAAGGGUGUGGGGCCGAGGGGACGAGACACAGGGGACAAGCACCAAACAAAGGGGGUGAGGGAUAAGGGCAGACUCAGGACAGAGGGUGCUAGGAACAGGGUAAAGGGGAACUAGAAACAAGGCAGGCAUGGAAUAGCCCCCAGUACCCGAAAAGCCUCGCUAGAAACUCUGCGGCGAUCACAUGUCCCUGGACAGACACGGAGGUAACCUUACAAAGGAGGGUCUCAGCUCGGGAGGUCACUUGCGUUGCCUUCCUCAAAGGCUAGCUCUUGAGCCAGCUGUGGCUGCGUGUGAACCACAGGAUGAUGUGAUUUCACAACAACAAACCCUCAAAUAUUUAAAAGGCUGUUUAAUUAUCCCAGCACAAUCUUUUAAGAAUAGACACUUGUCUUGCAAUUUGAGUCCUGCAUUCUUAACACUUUUUGCUUUGAAACAGUUGGUCUCUGCCACUGUUUUAGUGAAGCUGCUUCUUCCAGAUUACACUGCCAGAAGCACUGCACCUCGCAAUCGCUCUAAGUUACAUCAUCCACAAAGAGGUAAUGUAAAGUGCCUAGAGGCCAGGGGAAGGACUGGUCCAGAUUCUUUUGUUGUGGCAUAGAAGAAGGAAGCUGUAGUUGCAGUUUAAAAGUAAGAAAAGCAAAAAGUGUAAGAAUCAGGACUAGAACUCAGCAGGUUCUAGCUCCUACUGCUGUGAUUAGACCAAUAGACCUAGCACUAGGUUGCUAUUGAUUAAUUACUGUUGUUAUUGCUGGGCUCUGUACAGAUAUAAUGUGGGAUAAAUAUAAAAUUAAAGUUAGUUUAAGUUUGGUUAAGGAGCUAUAUAUGUGUUGUAAAGUCAAGAAAGGCCCUAACUAACAAGUAGAAGGAAAGCCUUGAAAAUAAGAAGUGAUCAGGUCAGAAGGAAUAAACUAGGGAAGAUGUCUGGUUCAAAGAAUAACUAAUGAGAUAAGUGGAAGUUUCUAAAAAGAAGGACCCUGACAGAUAGGGGAUAACUACUUAAAAUGAGCCCACACAGCCCUUUCCCAACCCACACUCCGUGUUAAAGCCUAUGCAAUGGGAAAACUGUUGAAUAGCAAGAAGGCAGGAAGGAAAGGCCUUGGGAAGAAAAGAGCCAGAUACCACUUCUGGCUCCUGAACUGAAUACAACAGUUGGACAUUGAGGACAGCCAUAGCAACUCUGCAGGAGACUGAAAGUCCCCGCUGGACUCCAUCAGGCUUGAUGGCAAUGAAAGUUUGCUCGGAAAUGGAUGCCAUUGUCCUACAAGAGGAGAAAAAGGGACUCUGUAUUCCAGGACCAGAAGGCAAAUGCAGCCACAACAUAAAUCUAGAAGGCAUACCCACAAUUUUCCACAACCUUAUUGUGCUUAUGUGUACUGAUCUAAUAAGUCAAAGAAUAUCCAAAAGGUGCUACAAAAAUAAAUGUAAUGUAACAGACCUAUAAAUAUUGAAGAGAGCAAUUAGUCCAUACCACGAAUGAAGAGAUUUUAUAUUAAGCGAUGAAUACAGAUUGUAUCAGGUCAGUGUAUUCUAAGAUGCACGCUGAUAGGAUGUUACUCACUUUAAGACAAAACAGGCUCAACUGAGACCAGGUGUAUCACUUUUAAUCUAUAGUUAUCUACAGCCAGUCAGUGUUGUAAUGAAGUAUGCUAAGAAUAUGCAUGGGGACUGGAAGGUCAGAAAGUCAUACUGGAGUAACCAAUGUGUCAUUUUUAGAGGCACAAGCUGAGUACUACAGUAGUUACACAUUCACUGUGGUUUACAAUU